UAGGGAAUAUUGGACAAUGGCUGAAAAGCUGAUCCAGCCAUCCCGCGUGAAGGCAGAAGGUCCUAUGGAUUGUAAACUUCUUUUCUCUGGGAAGAAAAGGCGGGUUUCUACCUACUCUGACGGUACCAGAGGAAUAAGCACCGGCUAACUCCGUGCCAGCAGCCGCGGUAAUACGGAGGGUGCAAGCGUUAUCCGGAUUCACUGGGUUUAAAGGGUGCGUAGGCGGGCUUGUAAGUCAGUGGUGAAAGCCCGGGGCUCAACUCCGGAACUGCCAUUGAUACUGCAAGCCUUGAGUACGGUUGAGGUGGGCGGAAUACAUCAUGUAGAGGUGAAAUUCUUAGAUAUGAUGUAGAACACCGAUUGCGAAGGCAGCUCACUAAAGCGUAACUGACGCUGAGGCACGAAAGCGUGGGGAUCAAACAG
rnacentral:rRNA from 1 species